rnacentral:lncRNA from 1 species
AAGCGUGGCUGUUCCUGCCCACACUGCAUCCUUGAGGACACCACACCAGGAAGCGUCAGGGCAGGGUGAUCUUCAGUUCUGAGUCACUCAGGCAAAUUACUGAACCUGAGGGGAUGGAGUCAUGGGAACCCCUGAAUGUGUAGUUGGCCAGGAAGAAGUGUGGGUAGCCUGGGCACCCCAUCUGUGACUCCAUCGGAAGUGUGGGACUGAGCCCUUUAAUCUGUGGAACCUGACGCUAGCCCCAGUUGGUGUCAGAGAGCUGGAAAAGUGGUGUCAGAAACCACCACACAGUAUGCGAGGCUGAGGGGAAACGCCAGUGUAAUAACAUGCAACAAGUGUAGGUGGUUUGGGGCCAACAAAGCCCAGGAGGGCUCGGGUUUAGGCUCUGUGGAGCACUGGGGCCGGGCAGGAUGGCUGUAGUGCUGUGGAGAGUUGAGGCUGCCUUAGGGAGGAUUUGGGGGUGAAGAUAGGCCUUGACCUGAGCUGGGUUUGGGGGGAGAAUUAUUAGUGGCCUGAGGGUCUUAGACUGAGGGUCGAGUGUGUCCCUUCCUCCCUGGCUGGGUGAGCAUCUAAGUCACUGCCUCUCAGAGGCUCACGUCCACAACAGUAAAGCAGGGAUGGUCUUGGCCCUCCUGGAGGGCUUCCUGCAAGGGUGUUGGUGAAAUGUGUUUCUAUUUGUGAAGCUGUGCUAGUGCUGUUGCCAUUUUCAUGAGCAGUUACCAAUCAACAAACACCUGUAGCCAGCCCUGCACCGGGCCCACGAUCACCCAGGGAUGAAGUGGUGACCGAAAGCAGGAACAGGCCGGAGCCUUCAGCAGCUAAGAGGUGCAAGGCGGGUGGAGCUGAGGCAGGAACCGAGGUUGGCCCUACACAGCUCCCUGCUCCUCCGCACCACUGCAGCAUGGAUGGGGCAGGCCGAGCAAAGCCACAGCCAGCACAGCCCUCUCUGCUGGUCUCGCCCUCACCUGUGAUACGCGGUGCGUAGAGCCCCACUUCAUUUUCCUCUUACGAGAAAAAGGAUGGUGCAAGGGCACUGGAAAGGCCUCAGCGUGAGUCCUGGGGUGGUGAGGACUGUGGCAAACUGGAGGGUGUACACCCCAUGAAGAGAUUUGACAUCUCUGUGACUCCAUUCCCCCCAGGUGGAAGUGAGGACCUGGCAUUAGCAAGCUUUGACAUUUUCAAGAGAAGCGGGGCAUGUAGAUUUGAAUGUGG